GUAGUACUUACUCCGUUCCAUAAUUCUUGUCUCAAAUUUGUCAAAAAUGAAUGUAUCUAUUCCUAAAAAGUGUCUAGAUACAUGUAAGAUUUUGACAAGAAUUAUGGAACGGAGAGAGUAGUGA
rfam:Brachypodium distachyon strain Bd21 chromosome 2, whole genome shotgun sequence.